AUAUUUCUAUCUCCAUAGCGGAUAAAAUAAAUGCAUCACAUAAGGUUGACACGAAGGUCAUUAAAGUGACAAUCAUAUGGCUCCAGCCAUCAUGCCGAAUCAUGACACGCAUGUCAUGUUAAUUUACAUCAUAUAGUCAUCUCAUACAUAAUCAAAUUGAAUAUGAGCUUGCUAUACCACAUCACAUGCCAUCCUGCGAAACCAAGUUAGACGCCUCCUAUUGGUUUAUGCAAAAUUUUAUUUUACGUGGCUUCUAAGGUUUUGACUUAAACCGCAGCUAACAACGUUUAUCAUCAAGUAUGAUCGUUCAAGUCGCUAGAUUAACUUUGCAGGGUGUAUGAAGCACGAGAUAAUAAAAUCUCGAACCCCAUACUAAACUUCGUCAUACGCGUGACCCCCGUGCAGAUCAUAUCUGCAUUGCCCUUUUGUCUGCACAAUUUCAUCUUUCUCUCAACUAUGGUGGAACCCAAAGAACUGAUAACACUUCAUUGAUCAAUCAAGAUCGCAGAUUUGCCAGAACUUUGUCAAAUUACACCAUGCCGUUUCAAGAUCAGAAAUACGCAAAUUCUAGGGAAGCAACAAGAACAUUGGGUAACAGAUUUCAUCUGCCACCCGCAUAAAUAAUUUUCAACAAUAGAUCUCACCAACUCCAAAAUUAUAUUAUGCAAUACCCAUACAUCUCCAUGUAUUCUAGAUCUUAACCUGCAUCUACGCAUAGCACGGCUCUUGAUGCCACUGUAGGGGAACACAACAGAAAACAAAAAAAAUUGGUAUAGCGAGCACGCCUAGGACCACUAUGGAGACUGCAUACAAUGUUUGAUCUGAUCCGUACCGACUCGAGCGUAGCGGAAGAAGAGUCGGUGGAGAUCGUCGGUGCAGAUCCCCGCAGCUAGGAUUUACAACCUCCCAACUGCGAGGAUGUACUCCCUCUCCGGACAGCCCUUCGGGAGGCGGUCGGACAGUCCCCCGGACAAUGUCGCGGACAGCCCUUCGGGAGGACCCUCGAAACUCGGACGGUAACUCAGACAGCCCUUCGGGAGGAUACUCGAACAGCCCCUAGGGCACAAGAUCGAAACUACAAUCUCUCUACGGGGUUGCACGCAUACGGUGUCAGCUAUCCAGCAGGGCUUCGCCGUCCAGAACUAGUUCCUGCCGGAACCAAGACAGCCUUUCGGCUCUACGAAACUAUUUCGCUGGGAGGGAGAGAGAAGCCAGAAUGUCAUGGCAUGUGUAUGAGAGCAAGGGAUGAAGAGAUGGCAGCCCUCACCUCCUCUAUUUAUAGUAAAGCCAAGGGGUAGUGUGCCUCCACAAAUUUACCAAAAAUACCAUGCAUUAGGUCACACAUGAGGCUGUUAAGGUCAAAAUGGGAUGCCAUGUGGAGCUCCAAGGAGCUCCACCACCCAUGGCCGGCCACCCCUAGCCCCCCCCCCAAAUGGGGUUCCUUCCCUUUUAAGCCACUUCCUUCUAGAACUUAGACCAAGUCCAAAAAGGUGGCUCUCCAUAAAUAUCGCAAAAACAACUUUCACUAUUCAUGACAACAUUUUUGAGCAUCCGUUCAAACUGAAAAUAUUUAUGCGGGCUUAGAACAUUUCCAGUACCCACUAAAAUAAUUUUCAACACGUCCUGAAACAAUUCCGGUUUAGUGAUUUUCAUCUGCGAAACGCAUUUGAAGUGGCUCCAGCAGCUCUGGAACAUUUCCGGUUUUUAUGUUGGAAAAUUCCAAAAAGCUUCCAGAAUGAUUCUGGCACCCUCCAAGAAUUAUCAGGCAUGUGCCGAAACCAAUUUGACUUAACAGUAUAUCCCGAAACAACUUUUCGGUUUCAUUGAAACUUAUCCCAAUCUUGAGGUAUCUUAUUACUUCUCAUACAUUUCCAUGAACCCGUAAGCCGCCGUAAUAGCCACCCAGUUACGGAUGACGUUUAACAAACCCCAAAGUUCACGAAGCAAGAACGAAGGAACUCGAUACUCUCAUGGUCUAAGUCAUUAUGCAAACAUUAACUAUCUCAAUGAUAUUAAUCAUAAACUUGUGACGAACAUCAAUUUGGGUCGAUUCAACACUUGUGUUCUACCAACAUCGUGCCCUCAAAAUUGCGAGCAUAGAGAUGCCUAUGAUCAGGAAAAUGGGAUCAUCAUGCAAUACUUGAGCCAUUCUUAGAGGCAAGACUAGGAAUACAUUUAACCGUUUAGUAUACCACACGUGCACAUGAGUUUCCCUCCGAGCCUCGUGGAUAUUGCAGACUCAAGAAUCAUUGCAGUUAUAGCAUGGAAGCUAAACCUUGAUUACAAAAAAACUGUUAUUACCGUCUCUAGGGCAUAUCUCCUACAGACCAAACGUCACAACAUAAAUGGGUGAUUAUAAAGGUGCUCUACAGGUGUCUCUGAAGGUGUUUGUUGGGUUGGCAUAUAUCGAGAUUAGGAUUUGUCACUCCGUGUUUCGGAGAGGUAUCUCUUGGCCCUCUCGGUAAUACUCAUCACUAUAAGCCUUGCAAGCAUUGUAACUAAUGAGUUAGUUACGGGAUGAAGUAUUACGGAACGAGUAAAGAGACAUGUGAUGUCUACUACACAACCUUCUUAUUGUAGACGUUGUUGGGCCUCCAAGUGCAGAGGUUUGUAGGACAGUAGCAAAUUUCCCUCAAGUGGAUGACCUAAGGUUUAUCAAUCCGUGGGAGGCAUAGGAUGAAGAUAGUCUAUCUCAAACAACGCUGCAACCAAAUAACAAAGAGUCUCUUGUGUCCCCAACACACCCAAUACAAUGAUAAAUUGUAUAGGUGCACUAGUUCGGCGAAGAGAUGGUGAUACAAGUGCAAUUUGGAUGGUAGAUAUAGGUAUUUGUAAUCUGAAAAUAUAAAAACAGCAAGGUAACAAGUGAUAAAAGUGAGCGUAAACGGUAUUGCAAUGCUAGGAAACAAGGCCUAAGGUUCAUACUUUCACUAGUGCAAGUUCUCUCAACAAUAUUAACAUAACUGGAUCACAUAACUAUCCCUCAACAUGCAACAAAGAGUCACUCCAAAGACACUAAUAGUGGAGAAAAAACAAAGAGAUUAUGGUAGGGUACGAAACCACCUCAAAGUUAUCCUUUCUGUUCUAUCUAUUCAAGAGUCCGUAGUAAAAUAACAUGAAGCUAUUCUUACCGUUCAAUCUAUCAUAGAGUUUGUACUAGAAUAGCACCUUAAGACACAAAUCAACCAAAGCGUCACCUAGAUACUCCAUUGUCACUCAAGUAUCCGUGGGCAUGAUUAUACGAUAUGCAUCACAUAAUCUCAGAUUCAUCUAUUCAACCAACACAAAGUACUUCAAAGAGUGCCCCAAAGUUUCUACCGGAGAGUCAAGACAAAAACGUGUGCCAACCUCUAUGCAUAGAUUCCCAAGGUCACGGAACACGCAAGUUGAUCACCAAAACAUAAAUCAAGUGGAUCACGUGAAUAUCCCAUUGUCACCAUAGAUAAGCACGGGAAGACAUACAUCAAGUGUUCUCAAAUCCUUAAAGACUCAAUCCAAUAAGAUAAUUUCAAAGGGAAAACUCAAUCCAUUACAAGAGAGUAGAGGCACUACUAAGAAAAAGGCUACUAGCAGCGCGGGUAAAAUGGCUACUAGCAGCAUGGGUACCCGCGCUACUAGUAUCGCGCUACAACUAAUAGUUAGUAGUAGCGCGGGUGAAACCCAAAGUACUACUAACAUUUUAGUAGUAGCGCGGAUGCAACCCGCGCUACUAGUAAUGAAAUAGUAGUAGCGCCUCAGGUUUUUUCCCAUGAUACUACUAAAAAGUUAGUAGUAGCCUGGAUGCAAACCCACGCUACUACUAACGAAGUAGUAGUAGCGCCUCUGGUGUUUUCCCACGCUACUACUAACUAAUUAGGAGUUAAAAAAAUCCACCAAUUCCAUUCUAUGCGUACAAUUCCAACUAAAACAAACACAUAUUUGCAAUAAACCAGCAGCAUUACACAUCAUUACUGAUCCAAGAUUUAUAAUAAACCAGCGGCAUUAGAGCACAUCCUGUAAGAGCAUACAUAUUGUCAUGGCUUUUCAUGCCUGCAAUUAAAACACCUACACGUCUUGCCAAGUCACUUACUCCCAUCUAGUGCAAACACAGUUACAAGCAAACCAAAAUGCAUAAAAACACCAAACAGUGGCAUCCUAUCUCUUCAAAUGAUCCGCUCCCUGUGCAUCCUUGCAAGCAUCUUCACGAUAAGCAAAUCCGCAGGAAAAAAGUCAACUUAGCAUGUACUCCCUCUGUCAACUAUCUAGAGUAGAUUUUAUCAUUUCCCUGGCCAUGUUCAAGAAAUACUAAAUUAAGAAUAUUUUUCUACUCUAAAUACAGGAGGCAUCGGACAGAAAACAAAAGAUGAGCAAUAUCAUAUGAGCAGAAUAAAAAGGAGUUUGGACCAUAGCAUGGUUAACAAUAAAAUAUAGUGCUCUAACAAAAGCAAGAGUGCAACACGUUGCCCUGUUCCCCUUUCAAAUAUCAACACACUAAAAAAGGCAAUAAACACAUACAUAUAAUUUUGGA
rnacentral:lncRNA from 1 species